rnacentral:rRNA from 1 species
GACGAACGCUGGCGGCGUGCUUAACACAUGCAAGUCGAACGGAGCGAAUGAAAGCUUGCUUUUAUGAGCUUAGUGGCAAACGGGUGAGUAACACGUAGACAACCUGCCGACAGGAUGGGGACAACAUUCCGAAAGGAAUGCUAAUACCGAAUGAAGCGGAGGAGAGGCAUCUCUCCUGCGUGAAAGAUGGCCUCUUUUUAUGCUAUCACCUGUUGAUGGGUCUGCGUCUGAUUAGCUGGUUGGUGAGGUAACAGCUCACCAAGGCGACGAUCAGUAGCCGGUCUGAGAGGAUGAACGGCCACAUUGGGACUGAGACACGGCCCAGACUCCUACGGGAGGCAGCAGUGGGGAAUCUUCCGCAAUGGGCGCAAGCCUGACGGAGCAACGCCGCGUGAGUGAAGAAGGUCUUCGGAUCGUAAAGCUCUGUUGACGGGGACGAACGUGCGGGGUGCGAAUAGCGCU